rnacentral:rRNA from 1 species
UACGGGGGGGGCAAGCGUUGUUCGGAAUUACUGGGCGUAAAGCGCGCGUAGGCGGCUUUUCAAGUCGGGCGUGAAAGCCCCGGGCUUAACCCGGGAAUGGCGCUCGAUACUGUUGAGCUAGAGUGUGGAAGGGGCUACUGGAAUUCCGGGUGUAGCGGUGAAAUGCGUAGAUAUCGGAAGGAACAUCAGUGGCGAAAGCGACUUCCUGGACCAGUACCGACGUUCAGGCACGAAAGCGUGGGGAGCAAACAGG